UUUAUUUUGAAUAUUCAAAAAAAUUAAUUCGCGGUAUAUUUUAAUUUAAUUCUUUGAGUUUCAGAUUAAUUAUCGGCUUUUGUUUUAUUAAAGUUUAUUAUAAAAGGCUAAACUAAUGUAAUUAGUUGAGUUUGGUUUCGUAAUUGAGGAUGAGGAGCACGAGAAAAAGUUGAAGGAGGCAGAGCUGGAGCUGGAGGUGAAGGUGAGGGUGGAGGAAGAAUGAAGAGAGCAGACACUAAAGAGGCACGCCUAGUUGUUUGACUUUGUCCACCGCUAAUCAGUUUGGCCUUGUAUGCUUUACUUACUCGAUGCAGUUUACAACCGACAACCAGCGGCCGACCACCGAGGGACAUUUUCUACCUCUACCUUCUACCUCUAGAUAUGACAUAUAUAUGUCUAUACCUUUGUACAUUCAGCAAAAGCAAGACUAAGUUGCAUCGAAGAACACUCGGUUAUUAAAACUGUAAUGAAUUUUAUGUAACUCGUUUUCAUUUAUGAAACUGAAAUUAUAAUUAAAUUAUUUUUAUUUAUUUAUUGAUUUGAAAUUUUUUAAAUUUAAUCAUCGAUUAAAAUUUAUAAUUACUCUGGAUUCCCGCAUAAAUUAUUUAAAUCGGACUAUUCAUUCAAAAAAUAUCGCGAGUGUACGGACGUAUGUUCAUAAAUUUUAAAAAAAUAUCUGAGACUUCGGAGUUCACAAAUAAAAUCAAUCAUGUGACAUUUAGAAGUAAUUAAUUACUAAUUACUGAGAAUGUGAAAUUUAAAUUUGAAUUUACCGCUUAAAUUCAAAUGUUAUAAAUUUGAAAAAAGUUUGAACAGAAAAAAAGGAAGAUCGAGGUUUUUAUACUUGGAGCUGAAUAAAAAUCCAUUCAAAUGUGACACUGACAAGUCUUUGAGUUUUUUAUAAAAAAAAAGUAAUGAAAGGUUAGCAACAAAAAAAAAAUUGUCUUGAAAAGUCAUGGCAUGGCCGAGUGUAUCAGAUGGAUAAUCCAAGGACUCGAGAGUACAAUCGGAAGGAUUUUAAGCUUUUUGCCUCAUCGCCGACAUUCAAAACGAGUAGUACGAUUUUCUCAAGUAAUAUCAUACGCCAGCGUACCGAGUUAUUAUUACCGGCCAUCUUCUAACGAGCAUUGUCUCAAGAGCUCGAACAAAAUAAUACUAAAUAAAAAAGAGAAGAUGAAAAGCAAACGGAGCAAGAAAACCUGCAGAUAAUCGUCAGAUCGCGUUGGCAAUAAGCUCACAAAAAAAUUAUCUCAAGUCUGGAGCGAAAAGAAAAAAAGUUAUAACAGCAUACAAUUAUUAUUUACUGUUAUUAUUUUUUUUUUUUACUUUUCACUUGGUCUAAUAUACUGAUUGUACUCAUCGAAAAUUUUAAUUGCUGUAUUUAAAAUAAUUAUGUGACUGAAAUAGUUUGUCGUGCUCACAACAGUUUGAAUAUUUUAAAAGUUAUAAAUGGACAAUGUAUGAAACAAGAAUGAAAAUGUACUUGAGCAUAUAAAUUGUUUGUCUAUUUAAUGUACCGUUAACUCAUAGAA